rnacentral:lncRNA from 1 species
GAUGAGUGGCAUGUUGGUAUGACUAUAAAGACAAUGACUUAUGAUAAUGGAAAUGGAAAGGUGGUGCCCCAAACCCAGCCGGACUAUCUAACUCGAAUCUGGAAUAGCACAUUGAUCAUUUGCGUGACUCUCCAUACCAAACACCAAUCACACUACAAAACCAUAUGUUACACCAUGCAAAUACAUGCAUAAAAAAACAAUCAUCAAGUAAAAAUAAGCAUACAUAUCCUAGAAUCAUGAUUUGCUAGAAAAAUGAUCAAAAUAAUGUUCAGGGGCAAAUUCUUCAUUUUACACUAUUCAUGCAAUUACUCGAAAACAAUAAAUCAAACAUACAUGCAUAUAGUAGGGUAUUAAAGAAAGUGGUAUCUGAAAGAAUUACUGAAAAUUGAUAUAUGAAGCUCAUUUAAUUUUAAAAUGAAAGUUUAGGACUAAUUUGUAAAUUUGACACAAUAUUUAAAAAAUACCUUUUUGAAAAUUUAUAAGUAAAAUUAUAAAAUUAGACAUAUAUUAUUGAAUCAUGCACAAUUUCAAGGCAUCUUAUAGCAUUUAAUGACUCUAAUUGCAUAGCAAAAAGUCUAGGACUAGAUUUCAAAGAAACUAAGCAACUCAAAAACAAACAGUGAGUCACGUCAUGACCACAUGAUUUGACCCUCAAAGUAAACAAUAUAUACUAGCAAUAUAUACUAGCAAAUCAUUAGGCUCAACUUACCAAAUUAACAUAUCAUGCUUUUCUAAAGAACCUACAUGCACAAAAUGAACUAUUUGGUCAAUUGAAACAUGCUAAAAACUGUGGUAUAUUGUGUUGUCCAUUAAAUCACAUUUCAAUCACUUCUCAAACAAUUUUUAACAUAAAUAUAUCAAGCAAGCAUAAUAUGCAUCACCAACAAUAUUCACAACCAUCCAAAUAAAACCACAAAUCAAGGUCCAAAGUCUUUUAAUAGUUUGUAAGAAAGUUUAGUCCCAAAUAGGAUCCCACAUUGCCUUUGUCCAUAAUUUGAAACCAAAAACACCUACUCAAGAGUUAUGCCUUGGAUGAAUCACUACCCUUGCCUACUCCUCACUCCUUGGAUGCGUUACUAGCCUGCAAGUUUUGGGGAAAGAGUGUGAGCUUUUGCAACCUCAAUGAACAUUUAAAAGUACUACUAAUCAUACAUAAUAUCAUAAGUUAAAUGAAAGCAUACUAAGGCGCAUUUAGGAACUCAUUUUCAUCAAGUCAGAGAAUCGUUUUCAUGUUUUAUAUGUUUAAAAAGUUUAGAAUAUACUUCUAAAUAUGAUUACACACAUCAUAGCUCACAUAUUUCAAAUAAUGAUAGAUUAGCAUCUUGAGAUUAUGAAACAUAUAAGUGGACUCAAUAACCAUACAUUGGAUAAACGGAUCUCCAUUGCACUAAUGACUCAAAGAGUCUAACAUGUCUCAAAACUGUAGCAUUAAGCUAAACACUCUCCAACACACCAAGCAUGUCUCGUUGAAUGAAGCAUAUCUCAACAUUCCCUUAUCUCUCUAUCUUGUCCUAGAGCCUCAAUCACCUGAUCACAAAACACAAAGGUGAGUACUCACAAUCUGAUGACAUGUCAACUAUAUCUAAUGGUUUUAACAGAUCACAAAGCCAAAAUAUCCAAAAUUACACAUAUUUAUUUACUUUUUUAACGCACAUAACCUCUAUUUGUAUUCACCAGUUUCACAUCACAACCUCAUUCACAAUACAUGCCUAUCGGAUACACAUUUAAUUGCAUUUACAAGUGCCACAACAAUUCUCAUUGAGCUAUCAUAUAUUAGACCUCAUAUGUGUGCAUUAAAAAUUAGUAAAUCACCUAUCACAUUAAUGUAUUUUCACAUAUUUCUUGUUGCAUUAGCAUCAUAUAUCACAACUCGUCUUACUUAGGCAUGAUUCUACAGACAAGGCAAAAAAAAUAGGAAAUGCUUACUCUCGAAACUUAGGAUAGGGGUUUAGGCUAAUCCUAAGCUGCUGAUUAACACUAUGAAUCCUGCAUACCACUAGUGACUUCGGAACAUUCACCAAUCUUGCUUUCGCUUGCUAGUUGAAAGGUUAAACAAACUUUGCCUGCCCUUUCACCUUACUCUUAAAGGGGUCUAGAGGAUCCGAUACUUCACAUACAUAAUACACAAAAUACAUAUAUGUCAUUGACAACCACAAACAUAGUAAAAAUCAAACAAAAACACAAAUCUAAUCUAUCCCUUCUUAAACUAAAAAUUUCGACUAGUUAAGCCUACACUUAAUUUUCUUGAUCUGAUCUCAUUUUUGUUUCUUGAAAUCAAUUCUAAAUAUCUAAAUAAUCACUUUAGAACAUAUCUAAAUCACUAAAACACCUAGAAAUUCAGAUUUAAAGUUUCCAAAAAAUUUGACUUUCAUGAACAUCUUGAACAAUAAAUCAUUAAAUUUUUCAAAUCUCUAAACAAUUGGUUAAAGUAAUAGUGGAAACCUUUUAAUCUAAUAAAAAUAAGUUGCAAAUCACUUAGAAACUAAAGUUUAGUUUGGGAUUCCCAAUUUCACCAUUAUUGACUUCAGUUUUCGAUAUAAUCCAUUAAACUCGUAAAAACUCAUUCCAAAGAAUCAAACCUUGAUUUGUAAAAAUAGGAUACAUGAAAACAUAGUCAAGAAAUAGAAUCUUACCUUGUUUGGUGAAGAAAAAUGAACUGAGAAUUGAAUUUCUAAAAACCCAAUAGAAAAAUAACGAAAAAAUUGGUUAUGUUCUUGAUGGUUUUCUUAAAUAUUGAGAGAGAUUUUGGAGUUUAGGAGAAAGGAAAAUCAAAUUGAAGAGUUUGAUUUGAGAGUAAAGAGAGAGUUUUGGUGUUUGUAAAGUUUUGAAAUACUAGAUAGGGAAGACGGAGGAACAACAGUUAUGUUUAAAACAUUUUGUGAAAUCCUAACUCUUUUAAUUUUUGGUCAAUUUGCUUGUGGGCAACUCCCAACUUUGCCCCAUUUUCAAAUUAGUCUUCCUUUUUAACUAAUUUUUUUCCUCAUUUCUUUUUAAAUUAACUUUUAUUUUUGAAAUUUGUUUUAAGAAAAAUAUUUCUCGGUUACUUCAUUUUGAAUUCUCGAACCUAAUUUUAGGCCAUAAUUUUAAAAACUAAUCACAAGCCCAAAUCGAACAAUCAAUUCAUUAACCCGAAACUACUAGGCUGAAUUUUGGGAUGUGACAAGAAAUGAAAUGAUUAAACUACUAAGAUAAAACAUGUCCAAGAAUCUUGAUCUUUCUUAAGGUGUUUUACAUGAGUAAUGAAACUAAAUUAUUAUAUGAUUAUGUUUCAGUCUGUAAUUAAUUUAUGACAUUCUCAUUUGCAAUUUGGAACUACUCUCUUUGUAUUUAUACAUCCCAAUCUCAUAAUUGGUGAAGGUAAGUUGACUAAAUUCC